rnacentral:rRNA from 1 species
AUGAACGCUAGCGACAGGCUUAACACAUGCAAGUCGAGGGGUAACAGGGUAGCAAUACCGCUGACGACCGGCGCACGGGUGAGUAACGCGUAUGCAACCUGCCUAUAACUGGGGAAUAGCUCCCUGAAAGGGGAAUUAACACCGCAUAACACUAUUGAUUCGCAUGGAUUGGUAGUUAAAUGUAGCGAUACAGGUUAUAGAUGGGCAUGCGUGACAUUAGCUAGUUGGUGAGGUAACGGCUCACCAAGGCUACGAUGUCUAGGGGUUCUGAGAGGAAGGUCCCCCACACUGGUACUGAGACACGGACCAGACUCCUACGGGAGGCAGCAGUGAGGAAUAUUGGUCAAUGGGCGCAAGCCUGAACCAGCCAUGUCGCGUGCAGGAAGACUGCCCUAUGGGUUGUAAACUGCUUUUGUACGGGAGCAAUAAGGUCUACGAGUAGAUUGAUGAGAGUACUGUACGAAUAAGCAUCGGCUAACUCCGUG